AGAGCCUAAAAUAUUUUUUUUCUGGACUCUGGACUUGAUAAACGCUGGAGGCACAACUGACAUCAGAUAAAAGCAGCCACAAAGAAUCCUGGUGAACCCAGGAAUAACAGACAUUUACAGUAAACUAACAGGUUUAUGUCACGUCUCACUGAUAGUUUUCAGUAUUCAGGUGCAAAAUGUUAAGAGAAAAGAUUAACUUCUCUGUGUGUGUGUUUUUUUUUUUGUGUACAGCUUCUACAGCACGUACAGUAGUAAUACAGUAACACUUAUGCCUGUGGGGGGAGGGGAGAGAAGAGAUGGGUUGGUUAAGGUAGCCAGGUGGUGUAUAGUUUCCCUCUGAGGUCUCAGUCAUUCUUUGACAGGCAGAUGGCGAGAGCACGUCUGGAGCCACUCAUGCUUUAUUCAUUGUCAGUGCAGAGUGAGGUGGACUACUGGACAGUGCCUGUCUUUUGUCCGAAGUCACUUUAGUCUCCUGGAGCGCCUCUUGCUUAUUCUAGGAUGGCCUCCUCCACCACACCGCUACUCGCCACUGGUCAAUAUUUGAAAGCUUCACUUCAUUACUAAUGUAGAGGACACCGCUCCCUCCUCUGGACCAUCACGGCAUCUCUCCUUGCCUUUUAAACUGUCCUGAACUUGUGGUAGACGGAGAUAUGCUCAGUGAACAUCUAAUGUCUUUGUCUCAUCAUGUGCAACUGACACCACAGACAUUAACAACAUCGUUUUGACAAGAAGGAAUUACCUUUUGACUAGUAUCUGAAAAAACCUUUAUUGAAUGAUGAAUCUUCAACACCUGCAUUGCUUCCCUGCUGUCAUUCUUGUAGCCUGUUUUGCACUUUUUCUGUAUUUACUAGUUACAUUGCCAGUUAAACUGUAAAUACAGUCAAGCUAGCGUUUUGGCAGAUUCAUUAACGCAAGAAACUAGGGUGCUAAAAUAUGCCAUUUUGGGUUUUUUUAGGUGGUUUAUGAAAUAACACUGAACGUUGUAUAGAUGAGUUAAACACUUAAGUUUUGUUCAUCUUUAACUACACCAUGACUAAUCAAAUUAAUAGUAAAAAAUAUUUAAAGAUAUGAAAAAUAGCUUACAAAAAUGGAAAAGAAAUAAAAAAAAGGCAGGAAAAAAAAUAGUUUUGAAAAAUGGCUUAACUGUAGAAAGGACAAAUGGUAAAAACUUCAAGGUGAGCAAAAUAAAAAAGGCAAAAUAUAUGAAUUGCAAAAUAAAAAGUAAACAAAAUGUAAACAGAACAAAAUGCCAAAAAUUGCAAAAGAAAAAAGAAAAGGACAAAACAACAGAAAGAGCAAGAUCCUGAGGUGAAAUAUGUGGAGAAGGUUGAUGGCUGGAUUCAUAUUCUUUGAGGGAAAAAGUGUUUAAAAAACAAAAAAAGAAAUAAACAAAAAA